rnacentral:rRNA from 1 species
GUAGGGAAUAUUGGGCAAUGGUCGGAAGACUGACCCAGCCAUGCCGCGUGCAGGAAGACGGCCCUCUGGGUUGUAAACUGCUUUUAUCUGGGAAGAAAAAGGCCAUGCGUGGCAAAUUGCCGGUACCAGAUGAAUAAGCACCGGCUAACUCCGUGCCAGCAGCCGCGGUAAUACGGAGGGUGCGAGCGUUGUCCGGAUUUAUUGGGUUUAAAGGGUGCGUAGGCGGCUGAUUAAGUCAGCGGUGAAAGACUUCGGCUUAACCGGAGCAGUGCCGUUGAUACUGGUUGGCUUGAGUGUCGGAGGGGUACAUGGAAUUGAUGGUGUAGCGGUGAAAUGCAUAUAUACCAUCAGGAACACCGAUAGCGAAGGCAUUGUACUGGCCGACAACUGACGCUGAUGCACGAAAGUGUGGGGAUCGAACAGGAUUAGAUACCCUUGUAGUCC